rnacentral:hammerhead_ribozyme from 1 species
AUCCAGCUGAUGAGUGCCGAAUAGGACGAAAUGUGUAUCCAGAUGGAU